AUGCCGCCCACAGGACGCCGCCCACAGGACGCCGCCCACAGGACGCCGCCCACAGGACGCCGCCCACAGGACGCCACCCACAGGAUAAUGCCCACAGGACGCUGUUGGCUGGAUAUUUUUGGUUUGGUUGCACUCAGCAGAACGAGCUUCGCUGAGAAGAUCAUUAACUCUGAUCAGCUCUCAGCUUCAUUAUUAGAGCCAGACGGAGGAGGAAAAGGCUUUGGGAUUCGAUCAAAGGAAAAGUCUGUGGGAUCGAGCCUCGCACUGUGGAAGACUUGAAGGAAAACGGCCAACGUGAAGUUGCUGCCGUUCCCCCCGAUAUGCCGGCCGAUGUGUUCAGGAACCGGUUACACACACGUCGAGGUCUGUCCUGCGUUUUUUUGGCUCAGAUUGCUUCGUCCUAACGGGAGUUACAGCGGAAUAUUGGGGGCCUCUUUCAGGUGAAUCUCCCUGUAGUACAGGAACCAGUGGUAUGGACUGUUUUUGAAAAGGGUUUUAUAUUAGCACCAAAAAGAGUGCUGCUUUCGUCCCGAUGUCAAGCUUGUGUGAAAAAGAAGAACUUUUUGGUGACUAGUGGUGCAAACCACAAGUUUCAAGAUGCGACAUUUUAUUUGACUUCUCACUGAGACGCGGUUCGGCUCAGGACGUGGUGAAACGAUGGUGUCAGAGCCGCCUGGGUAGGCUCAGGUUAGUCAUUCUGUUCAGUGGCAGUUAUUUAGCCUUUUUUUCGUGAGGACUCUUAUUUUGGCAGGGCUCUGUGCAGAGGUUAGUAGAGUCAUUGGUGGGAAUGUCAGUGGACAAAGCUGGUAACAGUCAAUAUGGCACCUGCUUAUGAAGAAAGUCCCACCCUUCAGGAUAACGAGCCAAUCACCUUGCUGGAUACACAGCAACCAGAACAACACACAAAGCAGUUUCUGUUACUGAGCCCAACGUUACGAACUACCUGCGAGGUUUCUGAGGUUUUAUCAGAGUAGCCCCGCGAUAGCUGUGUAGACCACCCUGCCUGAGAUUCCCUUUCAACAACACAGACGGACCACGCCUCUCCAUUCUAGAUAAACGUGGUUUCCUCCGAGUCCGCCUGGCUCUCCAUUCUAGAUAAACGCGGUUUCCUCCGAGUCCAUCUGGCUCUUCAUUCUAGAUAAACGCGGUUUCCUCCGAGUCCACCUGGCUCUUCAUUCUAGAUAAACACGGUUUCCUCCGAGUCCGUCUGGCUCUCCAUUUUAGAUAAACGCGGUUUCCUCCGAGUCCAUCUGGCUCUUCAUUCUAGAUAAACGCGGUUUCCUCCGAGUCCAUCUGGCUCUUCAUUCUAGAUAAACACGGUUUCCUCCGAGUCCGUCUGGCUCUCCAUUCUAGAUAAACAUGGUUUCCUCCGAGUCCGUCUGGCUCUCCAUUCUAGAUAAACACGGUUUCCUCCGAGUCCACCUGGCUCUUCAUUCUAGAUCAACGCGGUUUCCUCCGAGUCCACCUGGCUCUUCAUUCUAGAUAAACACGGUUUCCUCCGAGUCCGUCUGGCUCUUCAUUCUAGAUAAACAUGGUUUCCUCCGAGUCCACCUGGCUCUUUAUUCUAGAUAAACGGGGUUUCCUCCAAGUCCAUCUGGCUCUUCAUUCUAGAUAAACACGGUUUCCUCCGAGUCCAUCUGGCUCUUCAUUCUAGAUAAACGCGGUUUCCUCCGAGUCCG
ensembl:lncRNA